UGAGGAAUAUUGGUCAAUGGGCGAGAGCCUGAACCAGCCAAGUAGCGUGCAGGAUGACGGCCCUAUGGGUUGUAAACUGCUUUUAUGUGGGGAUAAAGUGAGCUACGUGUAGUUUAUUGCAGGUACCACAUGAAUAAGGACCGGCUAAUUCCGUGCCAGCAGCCGCGGUAAUACGGAAGGUCCAGGCGUUAUCCGGAUUUAUUGGGUUUAAAGGGAGCGUAGGCCGUGGAUUAAGCGUGUUGUGAAAUGUAGACGCUCAACGUCUGAAUUGCAGCGCGAACUGGUUCACUUGAGUAUGCACAACGUAGGCGGAAUUCGUCGUGUAGCGGUGAAAUGCUUAGAUAUGACGAAGAACUCCGAUUGCGAAGGCAGCUUACGGGAGCACAACUGACGCUGAAGCUCGAAGGUGCGGGUAUCAAACAGGAUUAGAUACCCUGGUAGUCCGCACAGUAAACGAUGGAUGCCCGUUGUUAGUUCACUUUAGAAUUAGCGACCAAGCGAAAGCAUUAAGCAUCCCACCUGGGGAGUACGCCGGCNACGGUG
rnacentral:rRNA from 1 species